AACGAACGCUGGCGGCAUGCCUAACACAUGCAAGUCGAACGAGACCUUCGGGUCUAGCUGCGCACGGGUGCGUAACGCGUGGGAAUCUACCCUCAGGUUCGGAAUAACUCAGAGAAAUUUGAGCUAAUACCGGAGGAUGACGUAAGUCCAAAGAUUUAUCGCCUGAGGAUGAGCCCGCGUAGGAUUAGGUAGUUGGUGAGGUAAAGGCACACCAAGCCGACGAUCCUUAGCUGGUCUGAGAGGAUGAUCAGCCACACUGGGACUGAGACACGGCCCAGUCUGCGACGCGAGGGAGGAGUGGGGAGUAUUGGACGAUGGGCGAAAGCGUGAUGCAGCAGUGCGGGGUGAGAGAUGAAGGGGUUAGGGUUGUAAAGCCCUUUUACACGAGAUGAUAAUGACGGUACCGGGAGAAUAAGCUCCGGCUAACUACGUG
rnacentral:rRNA from 1 species